CGGCUCCGGUUUUUUGCGCCUGGCGGGUCACCCGGCGGCUGAUUGAUUCUCCUUUCGCGCUGCGCCGUCACCCGGCGCUGGAAGAGCCUCGAGACUGCAGUGCAAGGCCAUCUGCGCUCAGACAGACAGGCAGACACGUGUCUCCCUUUCCAAGUGACUCCUCAGAGUCUCCAGACUUCUGGACAAAGAAGAGGAGGAAAUUAUGGCAGCAGGAAAAUCUAUGCAAAUAAAUCCUCAGUAAUGAGAGGGAA